UUAACAACGCACAGAAGAGUCAGCAGAUAUUAGCAAAUUGGGCACAAAACGUACACGACAUCAUUGGACGGUCGAACACUCUCUUGACCGACUCUCCUGCACAACCCUGCACAAGCUUCUUCUUCCUAAUAAUUUGCUCACUCCAAUUCCACUCCAUACUCUUUCUGUUGCAUUGAACGAGAGAGAGGGGGGUCGUGCAUAGCCUGCAUAAGAGAGAGGGCGAAGGUGAUUGUCUACUCACAUUACGAGCCGCCAAGAAUCGCAUGUGCAUGAACUAAUUUGCUUGAUUGAGGGAGCCAAAUGGAGUCUAUACUUAUUGUGUCUUUUCCCAAACCUCUUUCAUUUCCAGUUGUAUCUGAGGUCUCUGCAUCAAAAACUACUGGUGUACCAUUUCCAAGAUGCAGAGUGCGGAACAUGCUAGAAAAGUACCGCACUGUGAAGUUACAGAGGGGGCUUGUAGCACAACAUGUUGCACGUAACAAUGAAAUAUCUUCAGCCUAUCAAUCUCGUAGUGCAAAGCACAUAGCAAACGCAGCCUCCAGUCAGCCUCUUGAAUCGGAACCUGGAGCUCUUGAAUCGGAACCUGGAGCUUAUCAUCCCAAGAACCCUCGGGAAUCCAUGCAAGAUGCCUUGAAUGCUUUCUACAGAUUUUCGCGUCCUCAUACGGUUAUAGGAACGGCGUUGAGCAUAAGUUCAGUUUCUCUCCUUGCAGUAGAGAAGCUAUCUGAUUUUUCUCCAUUGUUUUUCACUGGAGUGUUAGAGGCUAUUGUUGCUGCCCUUUUGAUGAAUGUAUAUAUUGUUGGUCUCAAUCAGUUGUCUGACAUAGAAAUAGACAAGGUUAACAAGCCGUAUCUUCCAUUGGCGUCAGGGGAAUAUUCUGUCACAACUGGUGUUAUGAUUGUUUCAUCUUUUGCCAUACUGAGUUUUUGGCUUGGAUGGAUUGUUGGUUCCUGGCCGCUAUUUUGGGCUCUUUUCAUCAGUUUUAUGCUUGGAACUGCAUACUCGAUCAAUGUGCCCUUGUUGAGAUGGAAGAGAUUUGCUUUGGUUGCAGCGAUGUGCAUCCUGGCUGUUCGAGCAGUGAUUGUUCAAAUUGCAUUUUUUCUGCACAUACAGACCUAUGUCUUCGGAAGACCGGCUGUCUUUUCAAGGCCAGUGAUUUUUGCAACUGCAUUUAUGAGCUUCUUCUCAGUUGUUAUAGCAUUAUUUAAGGAUAUACCUGAUAUUGAUGGAGACAAGAUAUUUGGCAUUCGUUCCUUUACUGUCCGAUUGGGUCAAGAGCGGGUGUUUUGGAUUUGUAUUUCGCUACUUGAAAUGGCAUAUUGUGUUGCUGUGUUAGUGGGAGCAGCCUCUUCAAGCCUUUGGAGCAGAUACAUAACGGUUUCGGGUCAUGCCAUACUGGCCGCAAUACUCUGGAACCGUGCCAAAUCUAUGGAUUUGAAGAGCAAAGCUGCGAUAACAUCCUUUUACAUGUUCAUAUGGAAGCUCUUUUACGCCGAGUACUUGCUCAUACCACUUGUAAGGUGAAUACGAAGAUAUGAACCGGAAAGGAAUGGGGCCUUCCCAUUCUUCUUGUCUCCCACUUACCCCCUUUUCGGGCCGUAGGCCUGUAGCUGGUGUCAAUUGUGUUGAAUGUUGUAUUGCUAUCUCAAGAAGCCUUCAAUCUUUUUGUGGUUAUUUGGGAAACUGCCUACAUUGCCCUAUUCGUUGUCACCGCUGUCAUCUCUUGGCUCCAACAAAUUUUCUCCUCGGUGAAAGUCAAACCGCAAGGGGAUUGCAAUAAGAAGAAAGCUAUGAUGCCCAUAGAAAUGUUGCUGAGUUAUUAGUGUGUUGUUCAAUCACAUGUUGGCCAAACGUGUAAUCUCAUUCUGUGUUGUUUACUGGUGGCUGUUGAAAGUUUAUGUGUGGCAAUAGAUUUUUGGCCGUGAUUAAGCUAGUUUUUCAUAUAACCUGAGAAUUGCGACGUA